rnacentral:rRNA from 1 species
UACGUAGGGUGCAAGCGUUAAUCGGACUUACUGGGCGUAACGCGUGCGCAGGCGGUGAUGUAAGACAGAUGUGAAAUCCCCGGGCUCAACCUGGGAACUGCAUUUGUGACUGCAUCGCUGGAGUACGGCAGAGGGGGAUGGAAUUCCGCGUGUAGCAGUGAAAUGCGUAGAUAUGCGGAGGAACACCGAUGGCGAAGGCAAUCCCCUGGGCCUGUACUGACGCUCAUGCACGAAAGCGUGGGGAGCAAACAGG